rnacentral:lncRNA from 1 species
AACUUAGGGCUUGUUUGUUUCAUCGAAACUAGACUUUAAGUUGAGGUGAAUUUUAGAUUGAAUUGGAAUUUGGUAAAAAUUAUUUUUUUUUCGCUGUUUGUUUCAUAACUAUGAAAAUGAAGUUUUAUUAGUUGUGCUGUUUGUUUAAUAGAAAGUGUAUGAUAUAAAAUUAUAAUUUAUAUAUAAAUAAUAAAUAUUUUAAUAAAUAAAAAUAAUAUAAUUAUAUUUUUAUAUAAUUAAAAUUUUAUUUAAAACAACAAGAUUAUUUUUUUAUACAUAAAUUAUAGUAAUUAUAAAGUAAAAAAUAUUAAUACUUAAUUAAUCAAUUUUUAUUAUAUUUUAAUUAUACAAACUAAAUAAAAAAAAUAUUCAAACUUAACUAAUCAAUUUUUAUCAUAUUUUAAAUAUACCAGCCGAAUAAAAGAGUAAUUACUAAUAUAAUUAAAUAUAUUUAAAUAUAAUUAUCUCUAUCUAUUGUAUUAUUUUAUUAUUUUUUCUUCACAUCUCUCCACCGUAAUUGACUUUGGCCUAAAUCGAAGUAAAUUACGCCGUUUGAAGUUAACUCGAGUUUCGACCGUAACUUUUUUACGGCAAACCAAACAAUAGAAAUGACUGUUUAUGGCAAAAACGACAUUUCUCAUCUCCACUUCCACCCCACUUCCACUCAAAUAAAUAGGCUCUUAGCCACCAUAUAAUUUA